rnacentral:rRNA from 1 species
GACGAACCGUGCGAACGUUGUUCGGAUUCACUGGGCUUAAAAGGGCGCGUAGGCGGCUUGCCAAGUCAGGGGUGAAAUCUUUCGGCUCAACCGGAAAAGUGCUUCUGAUACUGGCAGGCUGGAGGGAGGUAGGGGCAGAUGGAACUUCCGGUGGAGCGGUGAAAUGCGUAGAUAUCGGAAGGAACGCCGGUGGCGAAAGCGAUCUGCUGGAUCUCUUCUGACGCUGAUGCGCGAAAGCCAGGGGAGCAAACGGG